UACGUAGGGGGCAAGCGUUGUCCGGAAUUAUUGGGCGUAAAGAGCUCGUAGGCGGUUUGUUGCGUCGGCUGUGAAAUCCCGAGGCUCAACCUCGGGUCUGCAGUCGAUACGAGCAAACUAGAGUGUUGCAGGGGAGACUGGAAUUCCUGGUGUAGCGGUGAAAUGCGCAGAUAUCAGGAGGAACACCGGUGGCGAAGGCGGGUCUCUGGGCAACAACUGACGCUGAGGAGCGAAAGCUAGGGGAGCAAACGGG
rnacentral:rRNA from 1 species